rnacentral:rRNA from 1 species
UACGUAGGGGGCAAGCGUUGUCCGGAUUUAUUGGGCGUAAAGAGCGUGUAGGCGGCCAGGUAGGUCUGCUGUGAAAACUUGAGGCUCAACCUCAAGCUGUCGGCGGAAACCAUCUGGCUAGAGUCCGGAAGAGGAGAGUGGAAUUCCUGGUGUAGCGGUGAAAUGCGCAGAUAUCAGGAAGAACACCUAUGGCGAAGGCAGCUCUCUGGGACGGUACUGACGCUGAGACGCGAAAGCGUGGGGAGCGAACAGG